rnacentral:rRNA from 1 species
UGAAACCCUGUGCCUACAAGCACAUAGAGCACGUCAAAGUGUGAUAUGGUACCUUUUGUAGAAUGGUCCGGCGAGUUAUUGUAUGCAGCGAGGUUAAGGACUGAAGGUCUGGAGCCGAAGCGAGAGCGAGUCUGACAAGGGCGACGAGUUGCAUGCAAUAGACCCGAAACCGGGUGACCUAGCCAUGUCCAGGCUGAAGUGGAGGUAAAACUCCAUGGAGGGCCGAACCGACCUCCGUUGAAAAGGCGGCGGAUGAGAUGUGGCUAGCGGAGAAAUUCCAAUCGAACCCGGAUAUAGCUGGUUCUCCCCGAAAUAGCUUUAGGGCUAGCGUUGUAUUAGAUUUCCGGGGGUAAAGCACUGAAUAGGCUAGGGGCCGAGAGGUUACUGAACCUUAUCAAACUAAGAAUACCGGAAAAUUGAUGUACAGCAGUCAGACUGUGUGAGAUAAGUCUCAUAGUCAAAAGGGAAACAGCCCAGACCCACAGCUAAGGUCCCUAAACAGGUUUAAGUGGAAAAGGAUGUGGAAUUGCCCAGACAACCAGGAUGUUGGCUUAGAAGCAGCCACUCAUUAAAAGAGUGCGUAAUAGCUCACUGGUCGAGUGACUCUGCGCCGAAAAUUCAACGGGGCUAAAUUGUACACCGAAGCUUGGGAUGUAUGUCUUUAUGAUGUAUAUGGUAGGAGAGCGUUCUCUGCGGGGUGAAGCAUGAGCGGAAGCGCGUGUGGACUUCAGAGAAGUGAGAAUGCCGGAAUGAGUAGCGAGAAUUAUGUGAGAAUCAUAAUGGCCGAAAGCCUCAGGUUUUAGAAGGAAGGUUCGUCCGCUUCUAGUUAGCCGGGAGCUAAGGCGAGGCCGAAAGGCGUAGCCGAUGCACAUACGGUAGACAAUCCGUAGCUGCCAAAAGAUUUAAAUUAAGGGACACUCUGAAAGGGUACAUCCCGGGCGUUGGUUGACCCGGGCGUAAGGGAGCGAAAUAUUCGCGAAGUGUGCUUGGACGGAGGCGAGAAAAGCUUAAUGUAUAUCUGCGGCACCCGUACCGCAAACCGACACAGGUAGGUAGGAGGAGAACUCUAAGGCCAACGGGAGAAGAGUUGUUAAGGAACUCGGCAAAUUGACCCCGUAACUUCGGGAAAAGGGGUGCUCAUAGCAAUAUGAGCCGCAGUGAAUAGGCCCAGGCAACUGUUUAUCAAAAACACAGGUCUCUGCUAAAUCGUAAGAUGAAGUAUAGGGGCUGACGCCUGCCCGGUGCUGGAAGGUUAAGAGGAGGAGUGCAAGCCCCGAAUCGAAGCCCCAGUAAACGGCGGCCGUAACUAUAACGGUCCUAAGGUAGCGAAAUUCCUUGUCGGGUAAGUUCCGACCCGCACGAAUGGCGUAAUGAUCUGGGCACUGUCUCAACAGCUCACCCGGCGAAAUUGUAGUACCGGUGAAGAUGCCGGUUACCCGCGACAAGACGGAAAGACCCCAUGGAGCUUUACUGUAACCUGAUAUUGGGUUUCGGUAUUUUAUGUACAGGAUAGGUGGGAGACUGUGAAACAAGGGCGCCAGCCUUUGCGGAGUCAACCUUGGGAUACCACUCUUAAAAUACUGGAAUUCUAACCUGCGGCCGUGAAUCCGGUCGGGGGACAUUGUCAGGCGGGCAGUUUGACUGGGGCGGUCGCCUCCGAAAGAGUAACGGAGGCGCUCAAAGGUUCGCUCAGCAUGGACGGAAACCAUGCUUUUGAGUGUAAACGCAUAAGCGAGCCUAACUGCGAGACUGACGGGUCGAGCAGUAACGAAAGUUGGAGUUAGUGAUCCGGCGGUAUGUGAGUGGAAAUGCCGUCGCUCAACGGAUA